GCCUGUAGGACGCGGGUCAUUUGUGCCAUGUGUGUCCCCGUUCACGUGUCUACACACCCAUACACAUGUACAUAGCCACACACGUGUACACACCUACACGUCUACACAUCCACACACCCAUACAUCCAUACAUGCCUACACACCCACACAUGCGUACAUACCCACACAUCUACACAUCCACACACCCACACAUGUAUACACACCCACACACGUGUACACAUCCACACACCCAUACAUCCAUAUAUGCCUACACAUCCACACACGCGUACACCCCCACACGUCUACACAUCCACACACCCACACACGUGUACACAUCCACACAUGCCUACACAUCCACAAAUGGGAGAAGAAAGUAUGAGCCUAAGUAGGAAGAGAUGAACUGGAAUGGACCAGGCCCUGUUUGAUCCACUUGCCCAUUACAGCUGGCUGUCGUGGCCAGAUGUGUUCUCACUUGGCCUUGUCUACUACAGUAGCCAUGUGUGACUAGGGAGCAAGG
rnacentral:lncRNA from 1 species